rnacentral:rRNA from 1 species
UGCGUAGGCGGUUUGUUGAGUUCGAUGUGAAAGCCCUGGGCUCAACCUGGGAAUGGCAUCGAAGACUGGCAGACUGGAGUGCGGUAGAGGAUGGUGGAAUUCCCGGUGUAGCGGUGAAAUGCGUAGAGAUCGGGAGGAACACCAGUGGCGAAGGCGGCCAUCUGGACCAGCACUGACGCUGAGGCACGAAAGCGUGGGGAGCAAACA